AUAAAAAUUUUAUAGGGAUGAAUUUAAUUCUAGGUGAAGUUGGUUUCAAGUUUUGAAUCACGUAUAAAUGUGACUUUUUUUGACGCGCAUAACUCUGCUGUUUCUCUACCCUUCACUUGUGAAUUUUGGAGCUCAAAGACAACAUCAGUACAGCUUCUAGAGAGAGAAUUUCCCUUCUCUAACUUUUACUGACUGAUUAGCAGUUCAGUCAGUGCGCUUUCCCUUGUGUGAAAGGGGAGGUGCUGAAUUGGCAAGGGGGGGGAAAUCCCGGCAGAGGCCGGGGACCCGGCAGAGCUCCUGCCACUAGGUGGGAGCAGUGGUUUAGCAAGGAGAACUGCGGGCUUAGCAGCGUGUCUCUUCCCAGCAGGAAAAGAGCAAAAGACCCACUCUGCGGAGACGGACUUUAGGUGGGAUGCACUUGUGCAAGCCUAGAACAGUGUUACUGAAAUGCUGUUGAGGUCUGGCACCUAAAGUUUACAUGAGAUUAAACUUGUUUUUACCCCUAGGAGUUCUGUGCGUUAAAAGGCGGAGGCUGUCCAAACUUCUGCAGGAUGUGGUACCACCUUGCAUCUCAGCCUAUGGGGUAUCUGGAAGGAUUUGCCAGGUUUUGUUGAAGAGGAAGAAUAUUUUAUCUGUGGUUUGUAGAAGCCAUUUGUGGGGUCAAUGGCACUUUCCUCUUCAGUCUGCUCUCUACUGCCUUCAGUUUUGGAGAAGAGAUGUCUUUGAAAUGGAUUGCUUCAACAGAUCUGCUUACAGUUUCAUAAAAGGAGCUGAGUGGGCAAUGUACUUGCACAUGUACAGUCCACAUGCACAGUUGGGAAGCAAGAGGCUACAGGGAGGAAUUGCUCACUAGAGAUUUGCUUCAGAGAGUCAGGUCCUCUGGGCAAGAGCGGAACAGAACUUGAAAAAAAAAAGAAAAAAAAAGAAGAGAGAAAAACCAAGGAAAACAGAAAACUCCAAUCAAACUGAGGAUUUUUUUAAAAAAAACACCAUGUACUUUCCUUCCCUCAGACAGCUUGGCAUCUGCUUUUGAAUUGAGUAAUAAUAACAAAUGCAAAUGAUUGUUUAGUAGUGAUGGUACAUUUAAGCAAGUUAGGGGUAUGUCUUGUGGGAGAGAGAGCGUUCAUGGCACAUAUCUUCAGAGAUCUAACUGGAGAGGGAGUUCGCUGUGGCGAGCUGUUUCUUAUUCUUCUUUACUCUUGCAUCCAGAGCUGUCCUACACGGAUUUGUCUUAUUACAAUUAAAGCUGGCAUGUCCCAGCGGAAAUAAAAAUAUAUCAUGGAGAUGGAUAAAAUUCUUC
rnacentral:lncRNA from 1 species